UACGGAGGGUGCGAGCGUUGUCCGGAAUCACUGGGCGUAAAGGGCGCGUAGGCGGUUUGGUAAGUCUUAUGUGAAAUCUAUGGGCUCAACUCAUAGUCUGCAUGAGAAACUGCCGGGCUUGAGUAUGGGAGAGGUGAGUGGAAUUCCUGGUGUAGCGGUGAAAUGCGUAGAUAUCAGGAGGAACACCAGUGGCGAAAGCGGCUCACUGGACCAUAACUGACGCUGAUGCACGAAAGCUAGGGGAGCAAACAGG
rnacentral:rRNA from 1 species